UACGUAGGGAGCGAGCGUUAAUCGGAAUUACUGGGCGUAAAGCGUGCGCAGGCGGCGCGUUAAGACAGGUGUGAAAGCCCCGAGCUUAACUUGGGAAUUGCGCUUGUGACUGGCGAGCUGGAGUGUGGCAGAGGGAGGUGGAAUUCCACGUGUAGCAGUGAAAUGCGUAGAGAUGUGGAGGAACACCGAUGGCGAAGGCAGCCUCCUGGGCCAGCACUGACGCUCAUGCACGAAAGCGUGGGGAGCAAACAGG
rnacentral:rRNA from 1 species